ACUGCCAGGAUGACCACCCAGAAAGGCCUGUUUAUGUAGGACUUGGCUGCUACAGAGUUCAUCUUAAGUCCUGAACAGCUGAGUUGGGAGCUCCACAAUGGUCUCCUGUUUGUUUCUGGGCAGGGCUGGAGAUAAGAUCAUCUAUACAGCCUAACAACCAUCUAGCUAAGGAGAUACCUGUGCCAACUCUGGCUUUGUUUGCUCUGCCAGACAAUCCUGAUGCUGCAAAGUCAAAUCAUUGUGAAGGAUGUUUAUGCAAAUGUGGGAAACAGGACUAUAAUCCUGCUUGAAGUUUGCUUAGAUUCCUGGGAAGGCUCCCUAUUCCAACCCUUUUUGAGAAAAUUAUUUCAGGAGAUGUUUGAAAUGAAACUUCCUGGCCCUGAAGCCAUUUUGAAUUACCUACCAAAUUAAGAAACGGUAUUCCCUGAGAAAUGGACAUAAAAUCCCACCGCAUUCCUGAUUAUAUUUUCUGAUAAAUUUUCGUGGAAAGUAGGUGUCCUUGGAUUUUAUAACAGAUGAAUAAAUUCCCAACUACAAAAUGUCAUUUCCAGCUUUACUCCAGUUUCCAAUACGAUGACUGUGAUGAUUAAUACUGACUGUCAACUUGAUUGGAUUGAAGUGUAAAGUAUUGUUUCUGGGUGUGUCUGUGAGGGUGUUGCCAAAGGAGAUUGACAUUUGAGUCAGUGGACUUGGUGAGGCAGAUACACCCUCCAUCUGGGUGGGCACCAUCGAAUCAGCUGCCAGCGUGGCUGAAU